UGCUCUACCCUUGUACGCACGUGGUGGAGGGCAUGAGGACGCUCAGGGCAUAUGUGCAGCCACAGUGGACACUGCUGUGAAAAAUACCCUGGACUCAGGUGCCUAGGGCACGUAACUGGAAUGUGCAUAUGGAUAACGCAUGCUGAAGAACUCCAGUCACUGUCCAGGUACAUGGCAUGCUGAUAAGGCUGAGAGAGUAACCUUAACUGAAGAGAAAGAAAGAUGCAUUCUCAAGAUACAACAAAUACUCUACAAUUAAGUGGUGCUGUAAAUGGAUCUUGAUCACACAUAGAAAUCCACAGCAAAACCCUUUUCCAUUUAUGGCUAUCGCAUUUACUUGUGGACUCUUUUCUAGAAUGUAACAGUACAUUCUGCACCUCUAAUAAACAACUUUUCUCUAGCCCCCCCACAGUUAAAUGAAGGGAUUGAAGAUCUGGACGAUAGACCAUCCUUGUCUGUUGCAACAAGUGUGGUGGCAGUUGCAGAGGCUCCAUUAAUCCUUUUGGCAGUGCUGAAGAUAUCUCAGCUGAAGAUGAGCAUAUGGUGGCACUGCUGUGUUUGACAGACCCAGGAAUUGAAGAAAAAGGAGAACUGACUGCUAUAGAAACUGGAGGACUUGCCAGC